UACAGGCUUAACACAUGCAAGUCGAGGGGCAGCAUGGUCUUAGCUUGCUAAGGCCGAUGGCGACCGGCGCACGGGUGAGUAACACGUAUCCAACCUGCCGUCUACUCUUGGACAGCCUUCUGAAAGGAAGAUUAAUACAAGAUGGCAUCAUGAGUCCGCAUGUUCACAUGAUUAAAGGUAUUCCGGUAGACGAUGGGGAUGCGUUCCAUUAGAUAGUAGGCGGGGUAACGGCCCACCUAGUCUUCGAUGGAUAGGGGUUCUGAGAGGAAGGUCCCCCACAUUGGAACUGAGACACGGUCCAAACUCCUACGGGAGGCAGCAGUGAGGAAUAUUGGUCAAUGGGCGAGAGCCUGAACCAGCCAAGUAGCGUGAAGGAUGACUGCCCUAUGGGUUGUAAACUUCUUUUAUAAAGGAAUAAAGUCGGGUAUGGAUACCCGUUUGCAUGUACUUUAUGAAUAAGGAUCGGCUAACUCCGUGCCAGCAGCCGCGGUAAUACGGAGGAUCCGAGCGUUAUCCGGAUUUAUUGGGUUUAAAGGGAGCGUAGAUGGAUGUUUAAGUCAGUUGUGAAAGUUUGCGGCUCAACCGUAAAAUUGCAGUUGAUACUGGAUAUCUUGAGUGCAGUUGAGGCAGGCGGAAUUCGUGGUGUAGCGGUGAAAUGCUUAGAUAUCACGAAGAACUCCGAUUGCGAAGGCAGCCUGCUAAGCUGCAACUGACAUUGAGGCUCGAAAGUGUGGGUAUCAAACAGGAUUAGAUACCCUGGUAGUCCACACGGUAAACGAUGAAUACUCGCUGUUUGCGAUAUACUGCAAGCGGCCAAGCGAAAGCGUUAAGUAUUCCACCUGGGGAGUACGCCGGCAACGGUGAAACUCAAAGGAAUUGACGGGGGCCCGCACAAGCGGAGGAACAUGUGGUUUAAUUCGAUGAUACGCGAGGAACCUUACCCGGGCUUAAAUUGCAGAUGAAUUACGGUGAAAGCCGUAAGCCGCAAGGCAUCUGUGAAGGUGCUGCAUGGUUGUCGUCAGCUCGUGCCGUGAGGUGUCGGCUUAAGUGCCAUAACGAGCGCAACCCUUGUUGUCAGUUACUAACAGGUUCUGCUGAGGACUCUGACAAGACUGCCAUCGUAAGAUGUGAGGAAGGUGGGGAUGACGUCAAAUCAGCACGGCCCUUACGUCCGGGGCUACACACGUGUUACAAUGGGGGGUACAGAGGGCCGCUACCACGCGAGUGGAUGCCAAUCCCAAAAACCUCUCUCAGUUCGGACUGGAGUCUGCAACCCGACUCCACGAAGCUGGAUUCGCUAGUAAUCGCGCAUCAGCCACGGCGCGGUGAAUACGUUCCCGGGCCUUGUACACACCGCCCGUCAAGCCAUGGGAGCCGGGGGUACCUGAAGUGCGUAACCGCGAGGAGCGCCCUAGGGUAAAACUGGUGACUGGGGCUAAGUCAUAA
rnacentral:rRNA from 1 species